UACAGAGGGUGCAAGCGUUGUUCGGAAUUAUUGGGCGUAAAGCGCGUGUAGGCGGCAGUGCAAGUCGGGUGUGAAAGCCCUCAGCUCAACUGAGGAAGUGCGCCCGAAACUGCAUUGCUUGAGUACCGGAGAGGAUGGCGGAAUUCCCGAAGUAGAGGUGAAAUUCGUAGAUAUCGAGAGGAACACCGGUGGCGAAGGCGGCCAACUGGACGAAUACUGACGCUGAGACACGAAAGCGUGGGGAGCAAACAGG
rnacentral:rRNA from 1 species